CCCUGCAGCCUGGUCGCACAAUGAAGCUAAGCAGGGUGGUCAGUACCUGGAUGGGAGACCCCCUGGGAAAACUAGGUUGCUGCCGGAA
rnacentral:rRNA from 1 species